GAAGGUCACUUUGCGCAAUUUCACUCUGAAUGAUAUUUAUUUUUUUAUCAAACUAUCAGAUUUUAUAUAUCAAAAUUGUGUGAUAUAUGCAGCUCCAAAUGACUACACAAAAAACAACAGUAGGAUGAGCAUGAAAGCUCUAAUACUACCUACCUCAAGCUCUUCUAGUCCCUCCAAUGCUACAAGCUACUUAAAUCCGUUCGAAUACAAGUCCACAUAGGAUAGUAGUUCAACUUAUGUAAGCUCCCAGUUUAGGUGACAAACUUGCUCUAAAGUAGAACUCCUGCACUAUCAGUCGAAUUGUAAUCUCUGCCGGCCUCACUUGCUUUUGGAAUAUUCUAUUGUUCCUCUCUUGCCACAUGUAAUAGCCAGUUACUGCCAAUAUAAUACGACAAACACUAGCACCUGCACUUCUCUCAUUGCAUAUAUUUAUAGCCCACUGGACUCCUUCACUCCAUAACAUGUUGGUUCUGUUAAUACUAUGCCACAUCAGGAUCUUCUUUCAAAUGUGACCAGUUAUCUCACAUCCAAAGAAGAGAUGUUGAAUGAUCUCCUUUUCUUUAGUACAGAAAGGGCAGAGUAAAUCAGUGGUAGUUCCCCCAUUGAGCAAUUCUGUCUUUGGUGGCCAAUCUUUCAUAUAUAGCUAGCCUCAGAAUAAAAAUCUAUUUUGGAGCUCCUUGGUUACUGCGUAUAAUCUUCCUCCACGACACCUUUGGAAACUCUCCUAGCAUUUUGUGAUACACCUAUUUGACGGAGUAAUUAGUUAGUUGCUGGACAUCAUUGUAGGUGUAUCCUGCCUCUUCUAGGUAAUGUCUCACCUUGAAGAUAUGUUGUACCACCCAUGAUGCACUCUUAGGAUCUAUAUUUCAAUCUUAUCUCCUUUUAAUGUAAUAUGUGUGGACCCAAAUGAUACAAAGCUUCUCCUUUAUCCUGCAUAUAUGCCACGGUAAUUUGCCUAUAGCUGUUUGGUUCCAGUAAUUAACAUAUAAUAGGUUGAGACCACCAGCUGCCCUAGGACCACAUAUUUUAUGCCAUGUAAUCAAGGAAUUUCUUGAGAACUCAGUAUUGCCUAUCCGUAGAAACCUUUCACAAACUGUCUCUAUAAACUGGAUAAGUUUUGUUUUUUUUCGUAGAAGGAUGAACACCUAAUCUUAGAAAGUUAGAAUGACAUAUAACACACUCUGAUCAGUUUUGUUCUAUCAGCAUAUGAUAGGAAUUUAGUUGUCCACGAAUUUAGGGGUUCACACUAUAAAAUCGAUGUUCUUUUGGUACUUAGGGGCACACCUGGGUACCUGAAGGGUAGCUCCCCUCUUCUAAAGCUUAAGACCUCUGUGAUCUUUCUUUGAGUAUUAUGGUAGACCCCUCCAAAGUAAACUGAGCUCUUGUUGGGAUUAGGUAUUAAUCCCGAUACUUUAUAGAAUAUUUGAAAAUUUUCAAAUAGAACCUGUACUGAUUGAACAUCUCCUCUACAGAAAAGUAGGAGGUUAGCUGCAAAGCCAAGUUGGACCAAGUUGAAUUUAGCACACCCAAGAUGAUAUCUGAAGCCAUGAUUUAAUUAAUCCGACUGUUUAAUUAAAAUAAAGCAUUGCGAUGGUCCCUGAAAAUGAUAGGUUUUUAUUUUAUUUUUUGUAACUUCCAUAAUUGUGCUACUUAGGUGGUAUUUUCAGCUUUACUUCGGAGUUACGACUUGUUUGGAUGGUUGUUAUGUAUUGUUUCAUAAUGUGUCGUAUAAUAUUGUAUUGUAUUGUACUUUAUCAUUUUGAUGUAUAUAAUGAUUGGUAGAUUGUAUUAUUUUCCAUUGUUUCAUGAUGUCAUGCACC
rnacentral:lncRNA from 1 species